AACGCUAAAAUGGCCCGUCAGUAACCUCACCUCCCCCGCUACCGCUCUCACAACUUCCGGACGAAAAAAUAACCGUCAAAUCCACGCCAAACCCGCCUCUUUCCUUCUCCCUCUCUCUUCGAAGAGGCAAAGAGAACAAGACGAAACCUUUACCCCGGAUCCCGAGACGUAACGUUAGAAAUCGGCCCCCAGAAGACCCAGUCCAGCGCCGGGAAUGGGGACGGAGGUGGAUAUCUCGGAGCUGCUGCUGCCGGCGCCGGAGAACGGGGUCUCCGAGCAGGAGGUGGAGAACAUUCCGCCGUGGAGGGAUCAGGUUACUAUCAGGGGUCUGCUGGUGAGCGCGCUUCUGGGGACGUUGUUUUGUAUUAUAACGCAUAAGCUUAAUCUUACGGUGGGGGUGAUUCCAUCUCUCAAUGUGGCUGCUGGCCUUCUGGGGUUCUUCUUCGUCAAAAGCUGGACGGGGUUUCUUCAGGGGAUCGGAGUGUGGACGAAGCCUUUUACCCGGCAGGAGAAUACGGUGAUCCAGACUUGUGUUGUUGCUUGCUAUGGCUUGGCAUUCAGUGUUUUGGAGAAUAUGGGGAAAGAUUGCUUUUUUAAGAAGAAAGCUAGGAACUUGGUGAUGGAUUUUGUUUAUAUAGUCAUAAUGAGGGUCUUACAUGAAGAAUUUUGGUGGAAGAUUUUAGAUUUUAUUGGUAGAAUUUGCUUCUUGGGUUCGUAGGGGGGCUUCGGAUCCUACAUGCUAUCAAUGGAUCAAAAAACAUAUGAACUUAUUGGAGCCGACUAUCCUGGUAAUAGGGCGGAAGACAUUAAAAAUCCUUCCUUGGGAUGGAUGAUUGGUUUCAUGUUUGUUGUGAGUUUUCUGGGCUGUUUAGCCUCGUUGCAUUACGUAAGGUCAUGGUAAUUGAUUACAAGCUUACGUAUCCUAGUGGGACAGCCACAGCUUUGCUUAUAAAUAGCUUUCAUACUAAUACAGG